rnacentral:lncRNA from 1 species
CUUAAAGUACAUUCCACACAGUCAAAUUCAGUAGAUUUCGGGUGUUUGAGCCCUCUGAGACAAGAGUGUCAAUAUUUAAGACUAUAGGCUGAUGAAUUAGUAAAAAUCAACAAAAAUAAAUUAUAAUAAAGCAGGGAAAUAUGAGAAAAGUUGGGAUUUUUUAGAGUUUUAGAACGAAUUUUUAAUACUUUAGAACUAGUGGUGCCUCCUUUUAAUUAGACUGCAGUUAUAAUACUAAUUAAAGUUCUUCUAAGAAUGUGCACUGUGCAUAGCUUUCUUUUAUUCUUUAACAGAUGGGACAAUCUCAAAAUGACAAUAGCCUUUAAUAAUCUACUGCUAUACUCCAGACAUAUUCUGCUCAUCUUUCACUCCAAGAUGCAGUGAGAAACCACCGUUAACGGAAUUUGAAGCAAAGACUGGAUGAUGAAAAGGGAACUCUUCUCCCACUGCAAGAAAUAAAAUUGAAGAAAUGAGGGAAAACCAUAGGCUCAUAGGAAAUGAAGAAUUGGCUGAAGGAAUACUCAUUUUUCCUUGUCUCUACAGUAAUCAAGUGAUGGUAAAACCAAGUCUGGAAAAACCUUCCAAGGUACCUUCCAAGUCCUGGGUCUCUUUGCAAGUCGAAUGGUACGUUACUAGCUUCCCUCUGGUGGGUAAAGAAAGAGUUUCAUUUGUGUCUAUGCAGGGCAACUAAAAUACCUGUUGCUCCCUACCUACCUACUGCUAGAUAUUGUCAUCAUUUAUUUUUCAUAUUUCAGUCUCUGGAUUGUGAUGGAAAAGGUAAGGCUUAUACUGAAAUGUAUUUUGCUUUACUGGUGAUAAUGUUAAGGUUUUUGUAAAUGUGAAGUAGGACCUGGGACCUGAAAGGCUAAAUCCAGAGAUGAACCAGGACACAAAUGUGAAGGGUUGUUGAGCCAGGUGCUGAUAAUGGCACACGACCCUGCACUGGUAUUCCAGAAUUUGCUAGAUUUCAAAUACUGACAGGAUUAUAAGUGUUAGUAAAAGAUUUUAUACAGUGCUUUUAUGACCUUCUUGCAGCCUUUCAUACAUUUUUAAAGAUUAUAGUAAUAUUCCUAAAAUCUCACUGGCAGACUUAAUUCUGGAGUAGCCUUACAGAAACGCUCCCUAGAAUUUUAUAAAAAUCUGUUUAGUGUAGGAUUUUUUGAGUCAAUGAAACUUUUACUGUUGGAGAAACCACAUGGCCUCCUCUUGAUAAUGCUCAAGUCAAAAGUUUGAAGUUUGUUUAAAAAGAUGACCAGAGGACUACCGAGGGACUUUUGAGAACAGGAGUAUUCCGCUUGCAAAAACGUAUACAAGUGGUACAGAAAGCCUGUGACCAUGGGGAAUAGCUUUGGAGUUAGCAGGGGGUAACAGAGCAGCAGCUGAAACCUGGUUUGACACCACCGGACGUCGCCCUGCCAGCGUCGCAACCGCUGGCAGAGGUGCACGUAGCCCUGGAGCACCCACAUCUCCUACUCAGGGUCUGCGAGGAGGGUGCCCCAUGCUGCCAGUAGGGGCAACCGGGGCUUGGCGUGGCUUGGCGGGGAUGUAACCGCUUGCGUGGAGGACGAUCGGAAUUUCAUGGAUUCAGUAUAGAAGGGCGUUUAGAAAUCAGUAGACGUUCAUUAACAUUUUGUAAGUGUCUAGAAUUGUGGUUUAUCUAUCUGUUGUAUUGCUGAUAUUGAGGGCAAAUGUAUAAUUCACUGAUUGCUGGUUAAUUAGGUGCUGCUAGUAAAUCAAUAAACCGCUUUGAUCCCGUUCUGAUUCA